GACGAACGCUGGCGGCGUGCUUAACACAUGCAAGUCGAACGGAAAGGCCCUGCUUUUGUGGGGUGCUCGAGUGGCGAACGGGUGAGUAACACGUGAGUAACCUGCCCUUGACUUUGGGAUAACUUCAGGAAACUGGGGCUAAUACCGGAUAGGAGCUCCUGCUGCAUGGUGGGGGUUGGAAAGUUUCGUCGGUUGGGGAUGGACUCGCGGCUUAUCAGCUUGUUGGUGGGGUAGUGGCUUACCAAGGCUUUGACGGGUAGCCGGCCUGAGAGGGUGACCGGCCACAUUGGGACUGAGAUACGGCCCAGACUCCUACGGGAGGCAGCAGUGGGGAAUAUUGCACAAUGGGCGGAAGCCUGAUGCAGCAACGCCGCGUGCGGGAUGACGGCCUUCGGGUUGUAAACCGCUUUCGCCUGUGACGAAGCAUGAGUGACGGUAAUGGGUAAAGAAGCACCGGCUAACUACGUG
rnacentral:rRNA from 1 species